AUUUGAAACUCUCAGCAAAGCUACAAGUCUCUUAUAAAAAUGUCAUUUUUUGGAUAAAGUAGUAAAUGUAGUUUUACAAAAGGGAUGGUGUCCUACUGGUAAUAUAUACAGUAUAAGGGGAGAAAACAAACUGUUAUCAAAGAUGGAUGCAGUCAAACUUCCAGCUUAUAUUUUCGGUUAACUGAAAGUUCUAAGUUGCCACCGAAACAAGAUAAUUACAAGACAGUCCUUCAAGUCCCCCAACCUUGGUACUCCACGCCCACGGCCUAGAAUCAUCACUGCAAAGUAGUUUGAGUUUCCCAUUGGAAACCGUUGCUUGGAAGUCUUUGCAAUCUAUGAGUACCAUGCAAACAUUCGGACACAAGUUAAGCUUGUC